rnacentral:lncRNA from 1 species
UUUUGACAUAAUUAAGUCUAUGACAAUUAUGCCAAGUUUUAUUCGAUACUAUUUUUUUUUUGUUCAAGUUACCGGUAAUAGAGAGAGAAAAUUGAUGACAUCGAUAAUUUGACACUCCACAAUUAAGUAUCACACGUAAUACAACCAAUACCACACUUUUGUUUAAUACAUAAAUAUGCAUCUGAUUUUUCUAUACUAUAUCACUGAAAUAUAAUAUGAUUCAAAAUUCACUAACAUCUAGUAAAUACUAAAUUUUACUCCAAACCUCAACUCCUAAAUACUAAAUCCUAAACUUUAAACAUCAAUCUUCCAUCUAAAUACUAAAUCCUAAACCCUAAUUACUGAAUCCUAAUCCUAAAUAUAAACCUUAAACCCAAUUAUCAAAAUCUGAAAAAUAGUAUAUAAUAUUAUGUAAUAUUAAACUAAAUCUAAAUCUAAUUUUUGAAUAGUAUAGGACUCCAAUCCAACACACAACUGCUCAAUGCUAAACUUAGACCUAACUUUUGAAUACUAAAACAAAAAUGCUAUCACUAAACCCACACCUAAAGUCCCACCUUUCAAAUACUAAACCCUAAAUCCUAAUCAUUAAACCAUAAACCUAAGUAUAGACUCUAAACCCAAAUAGAAUGGAACAAAAUAUAAAAUAUAGUACAAAUUGGUAAGCAAAAUUUCUUAAUCGUCAAAUGGAACAUACAUAAUAUGGUCACUAAACCCAAACCUCAACCCCCACCUUCCAAAUACUAAACCCUAAAUCUAAAUCUC